UUACACAUUUCUUACACAUUUCCUCAAUUAUGCACUACUAGCCCCCUCAUUUCAUAUUUCUAUUUCUCUCUCCAAACACAAAUUUCUCACACAAACACACACUCUCGUCUCUUUCACCCAAAAAAACCCUAGCGCCGCAGCCUCCCUCUCUUCUCGUCUCUCUUUCAUUCUCCAACCCUAGCGCCGCAACCACUUUCUCCACCCUCUAUACGACCAUAACCACCUCCUCAUUGUCUUCCAAAUGAACCGAAUAGUUGUUUCGUUUUGGCGAAUCCUAUUGUUGACCACCGUCACAACUCAUGUAGGGAAGAGAAACCUCAAUCAUGGCUUCAAGUUUAAAGAGGGAAGUUUUCAUGUUUUUAUUUGAUUUUUUAUUUUAGUUUUGAAUUGCUGGUCUACAAUUUUUAUUUUCAUUUGGUUUUGUUUUACGGUUUUGAUAGUUUUUGGUCUUGAAGGUGAAUAACAACAGUAACUAUCAUCAUAAAUUCAUAUCAUUGUCUUGACGGUUAAUGAUUUUCAUCGAUGAUUAUUCCAUCGGUCAAAACAGAAUGAAUAUUUCUUGUCUACUUUAGACUCUUCAGUUUUGGGAACAUUGAGAAUUUGUAAUUUUUGAAGGUUUGCUCUAAGGAUUGAAGUUCUUUGGUCGUAGUAGCAGGUUGCUGUGUCAAAAAUCUAUUUCCAUUGUCGAAUCUACCGGUUCAUUUUUAACAUAUAUAUGGAGGUCAACGAGGUGAAUGGGUAUAUCAUAACUUGACUAGCAUUUUUAGCUUCAGCUAAGAUGGGAAGGAAAGUACUCUUAAAUUGAUGUUAUUCCAGAUUACUUGUGGUCAACAGACAGUAGUAGUAAUGGCAGCGCAAAGGAGAAAAUGAAGGCAAUGGAGCAAACAUUGUUGAAAGGAAAGAAUUCAAGAUGAUUGUGUUGGUUCUGCUUUUGUGUAAUCCACCUUGAAAGGCAGUCAUUCAAGUUCAUAACAUUGAAGACUUCAAAUAGUUGAAUACAAGUUACAGCCCUGUUCCUAAGCAGUUGGCUUCCCCAGCUAUGAUAAUUUUUGAAUGUUCCUCCAGCAUUUUUGGUUCGCUUCCUAAUAGAACACUGCUCAGAAUGGACUGAUUUCAAUGUUAAUGUUUAUUAUGCUGCAUCGCUGAAAGCUGGAAACUAUGCUUAUUGUGACCUGAUGGUGUAUGUUCAGCUGAGUUGUUUCAGCAGCUGGGGGAGUGGAUGACGACUUGGCAUGGACUGGAAAAGCAAGAUAUAAUUGAUACAUAGUUAUUUUUAUGUCCUCAAAUUCAUAUGAUAGUUGUGUUUGUAAUAUGCAUUUAACAUGAGCAUUAAGUUAUGUAUACACUUUGGUAAUAUUUUUCUUGAGUUAUGCAUCACAUAUAUAAUUAUGAUCACAUAUAAGUAGAUCACAUAUAUAAAUACAUAAUUGGUGCAUGAAUUUUAGAUAGUUGUAAUAUACAAUUUUGUUAUACUUUGGUAAUAUUUUUCUUGAGUUAUGCAUCACAUAUAUAAUUAUGAUCACAUAUAAUUAGAUCACAUAUAUAAAUACAUAAUUGGUGCAUGAAUUUUAGAUAGUUGUAAUAUACAAUUUUGUUAUAGGUCUUCUUCACCUUUGACCUUAUUCCUAACACCUCUUAUAUGAUACAUAUAUACUUUUUUUUUAAUUUUAUAUUAGCUCUUAUAUGGUUUAUACUUUUUGAUUUUGUAUUGUAUUUCUUAUUUCAUUUUCUUAUUUAUCAUGAAAGUUUGAAAUAAAAUUUGAUUUAUGAUAUCGACUA